rnacentral:rRNA from 1 species
GACGAACGCUGGCGGCGUGCUUAACACAUGCAAGUCGAACGGAUUGGCAAACGGAUGAGUCACACGUGGGUGAACUGCCCUGCACUUCGGGAUAAGCAUGGGAAACUGGGUCUAAUACCGGAGAGUGUGGGAUGGGCCCGGGGGCUAUAAGCUUGUUGGUGGGGUAAUGGCCUACCACGGCGGCGAGGGGUAGCCGGCCUGAGAGGGGGGACGGCCACAUGGGUACUGCGAGACGGCCCAGACGCCGACGGGAGGCAGCAGUGGGGAAUAUUGCACAAUGGGCGGAAGCCUGAUGCAGCGACGCCGCGUGGGUGAUGACGGCCUUCGGGUUGGAAACUCCUUUCACCAUCGACGCGGUAGAUGGAGAAGAAGCACCGGCUAACUACGUGCCAGCAGCCGCGGUAAUAC